rnacentral:rRNA from 1 species
UACGAAGGGGGCUAGCGUUGCUCGGAAUUACUGGGCGUAAAGCGCACGUAGGCGGAUUGUUAAGUCGGGGGUGAAAUCCUGGAGCUCAACUCCAGAACUGCCUUCGAUACUGGCGAUCUCGAGUUCGGGAGAGGUGAGUGGAACUGCGAGUGUAGAGGUGAAAUUCGUAGAUAUCGAGAGGAACACCUGCGGCGAAGGCGGGUUGCUGGGCCGACACUGACGCUGAUGCGCGAAAGCCAGGGGAGCGAACGGG